rnacentral:rRNA from 1 species
AACGAACGCUGGCGGCAUGCCUAACACAUGCAAGUCGAACGAACCCUUCGGGGUUAGUGGCGCACGGGUGCGUAACGCGUGGGAAUCUGCCCUUUGCUUCGGAAUAACAGUUAGAAAUGACUGCUAAUACCGGAUAAUGUCUUCGGACCAAAGAUUUAUCGGCAAAGGAUGAGCCCGCGUAGGAUUAGCUAGUUGGUGGGGUAAAAGCUCACCAAGGCGACGAUCCUUAGCUGGUCUGAGAGGAUGAUCAGCCACACUGGGACUGAGACACGGCCCAGACUCCUACGGGAGGCAGCAGUGGGGAAUAUUGGACAAUGGGCGAAAGCCUGAUCCAGCAAUGCCGCGUGAGUGAUGAAGGCCCUAGGGUUGUAAAGCUCUUUUACCAGGGAUGAUAAUGACAGUACCUGGAGAAUAAGCUCCGGCUAACUCCGUGCCAGCAGCCGCGGGUAAU